GAUGAACGCUGGCGGCGUGCCUAAUACAUGCAAGUCGAGCGAACGGACGAGAAGCUUGCUUCUCUGAUGUUAGCGGCGGACGGGUGAGUAACACGUGGAUAACCUACCUAUAAGACUUGGAUAACUUCGGGAAACCGGAUCUAAUACCGGAUAAUAUUUUGAACCGCAUGGUUCAAAAGUGAAAGACGGUCUUGCUGUCACUUAUAGAUGGAUCCGCGCUGCAUUAGCUAGUUGGUAAGGUAACGGCUUACCAAGGCAACGAUGCAUAGCCGACCUGAGAGGGGGAUCGGCCACACUGGAACUGAGACACGGUCCAGACUACUACGGGAGGCAGCAGAAGGGAAUAUUCCGCAAUGGGCGAAAGCCUGACGGAGCAAAGCCGCGUGAGUGAUGAAGGUCUUCGGAUCGUAAAACGCUGUUAUUAGGGAAGAACAUAUGUGUAAGUAAAUGUGCACAUAUUGACGGUAACUAAUCAGAAAGCCACGGCUAACUACGUG
rnacentral:rRNA from 1 species